UACGGGGGGGGUAAGCGUUGUUCGGAAUUACUGGGCGUAAAGGGCUCGUAGGCGGCCAACUAAGUCAUACGUGAAAUCCCUCAGCUUAACUGGGGAACUGCGUGUGAUACUGGAUGGCUUGGAUUUGGGAGAGGGAUGCGGAAUUCCAGGUGUAGCGGUGAAAUGCGUAGAUAUCUGGAGGAACACCGGUGGCGAAGGCGGCGUCCUGGACCAACACUGACACUGAGGAGCGAAAGCCAGGGGAGCAAACGGG
rnacentral:rRNA from 1 species